GUGCUCACUUCAGUAGCACAUGUACUAAAACUGGAAUGAUACAGAGAAGAUUAGCAUGGCCUCUGCACAAGGAUGACACACAAAUUCAUGAAGCAUUCCAUAUUUUU
rnacentral:snRNA from 1 species